rnacentral:rRNA from 1 species
AUACGGAGGGUGCAAGCGUUAAUCGGAAUUACUGGGCGUAAAGCGUACGUAGGCGGUUUAUUAAGUCAGAUGUGAAAGCCCCGGGCUUAACCUGGGAACUGCAUUUGAAACUAGUAGACUAGAGUAUGGUAGAGGGGGGUAGAAUUCCUAGUGUAGCGGUGAAAUGCGUAGAUAUUAGGAGGAAUACCAGUGGCGAAGGCGGCCCCCUGGACCAAUACUGACGCUGAGGUACGAAAGCGUGGGGAGCAAACAGGAUUAGAAACCCUAGUAGUCC